rnacentral:rRNA from 1 species
UACGUAUGUCGCAAGCGUUAUCCGGAAUUAUUGGGCAUAAAGGGCAUCUAGGCGGCCAGACAAGUCUGGGGUGAAAACUUGCGGCUCAACCGCAAGCCUGCCCUGGAAACUGUCUGGCUAGAGUGCUGGAGAGGUGGACGGAACUGCACGAGUAGAGGUGAAAUUCGUAGAUAUGUGCAGGAAUGCCGAUGAUGAAGAUAGUUCACUGGACGGCAACUGACGCUGAAGUGCGAAAGCUAGGGGAGCGAACAGG